rnacentral:rRNA from 1 species
CCUACGGGAUGCAGCAGUGGGGAAUAUUGCACAAUGGGCGCAAGCCUGAUGCAGCCAUGCCGCGUAUGAAGAAGGCCUUCGGGUUGUAAAGUACUUUCAGCGGGGAGGAAGGUGUUGAGGUUAAUAACCUCAGCAAUUGACGUUACCCGCAGAAGAAGCACCGGCUAACUCCGUGCCAGCAGCCGCGGUAAUACGGAGGGUGCAAGCGUUAAUCGGAAUUACUGGGCGUAAAGCGCACGCAGGCGGUCUGUCAAGUCGGAUGUGAAAUCCCCGGGCUCAACCUGGGAACUGCAUUCGAAACUGGCAGGCUAGAGUCUUGUAGAGGGGGGUAGAAUUCCAGGUGUAGCGGUGAAAUGCGUAGAGAUCUGGAGGAAUACCGGUGGCGAAGGCGACCCCCUGGACAAAGACUGACGCUCAGGUGCGAAAGCGUGGGGAGCAAACAGGAUUAGAUACCCUAGUAGUC